rnacentral:misc_RNA from 1 species
AAGCUUGAGCCGCCCGCUGUGG